rnacentral:rRNA from 1 species
CCGGUUUAUACCGGUUCUCGUUAGAUCACUGAAGUUAAGCAUCAUUGGGCGCGGUCAGUACUUGGGUGGGUGACCACCUGGGAACACUGCGUGCCGUU